AUUUAUUUAUUUGAAAAUAAGCCAAAUAUUUUCUAGCAACUUUAUUCUAUUCGUUUCAAAUUACGUCGGCUUUGGCCGUUUUGAUUCGCUAUGAGAAUGAAAUUAACUUGACUUAAUGAGAAUAAAAUAAGGCAACUUAGCCUCCAGAUGUCUCUCAGUAAAAUUAUUAUCGAAGUUCAUAAAUCGUCAACCAGUAACAACUUUAUGUUUAAAUGUGGUAAUCAAAUAGCAAUUGUGUUUCCAAUUUUUAUGCACACAUUUUCAGUACAUCUUGAACUAUACUUCUCAAUCGAACUUACCGAACGUAAUCAAUAUAUCCUCGCAAGUUGUUAUAAUCAAACACCUGGAAAUAUUUUCAACAAAAUGUUGUUUAUAAAAUGUUAUUUUUGAUUUUAACAUUAGUUUGAAAGAAUUGUGAAUCCACUACAAUCAAUCAAAAACACGGAAAGGUUAUAUACUCAUCGGAACAUAUGGAACGAUGUCCUCAUUUUAUAGUACCAAACUUAUAUUUUAUUCAAAGGAAAAAUGCAAACAACAAAUGGACAUUAUUUGGUCUUGAGACUAAUGUAUUUGUAGAGAUGGCGAUGGCUAAACGAAUGGAAAACUGUAGCGUUCUGAAUAGAAUCGUAGAUUCAGAUGGUGUCAUUGGCAAACUUGGCAACAGGAUCAUUUUCACUUCAAUGUUUUCAAUUAAUAAAUAUUGCUUUAAGAAUAUUUCCGGUGAUCUUUGUGAUCAAAAAAGUGUACCGUUGAAUAAACGAGUAUCCUCAACCGAAGAUUAUUUGGUGGAUUUUACACGUUCAUUUUCUAGACAUCAGAAUGCCUGAUACCAACUGUUGUAUCUGGAAAUUAUGUUCUCAAACAUUUUUAGCUGCGAAUAAAGACGGUUAAGGAUUUUAAGAGUUUAUCACGGACAAGAAAUGUUUAAGACACA